UACGAAGGGGGCUAGCGUUGCUCGGAAUCACUGGGCGUAAAGGGUGCGUAGGCGGGUCUUUAAGUCAGAGGUGAAAUCCUGGAGCUCAACUCCAGAACUGCCUUUGAUACUGAGGAUCUUGAGUACGGGAGAGGUGAGUGGAACUGCGAGUGUAGAGGUGAAAUUCGUAGAUAUUCGCAAGAACACCAGUGGCGAAGGCGGCUCACUGGCCCGUUACUGACGCUGAGGCGCGAAAGCGUGGGGAGCGAACCGG
rnacentral:rRNA from 1 species